rnacentral:tRNA from 1 species
GAUGGGUGUAGCUCAGUGGUAGAGCAGCGGUCUCCAAAACCGCCAGCGCAGGUUCGAUUCCUGCCAUCUUUGCCA